rnacentral:tmRNA from 1 species
GGGGGCGUUUGGUUUUGACAGCGUAGAUCUUUGAGAGUGUAAGCAUGUACUGCGUUGCGUAAUUAGCAGUUAAAUCUGAAUACGAAACCUAUAAAUGGCAAUACUCAGUAUGCCAUGGCUGCCUAAUCAGUGAUUAAGUAGUCAUUAGGGCCGCCGGGCCGGUUGUUCUGUUACCAUGCCCCGCCGCCGACUUAAAAACAAAACAGGAUGCUGCAAUCAAAGGCUGUGCUGAUUGCUUAAGACCAUACAGCUAAGGAAGUAAUCGGUUGUCUGUUUCCAGUUCCUUCCCGACAUAAUAAAAUAGAAUAAACAUGUAGAAAGCUUUCGACGAAUAUGUUUGGACACCGGUUCGACUCCGGUCGCCUCCACAC